GGGAACAGGAAUGUACCUACAGUAACACUUGAACAGGUACAGACAAGCAGCGCCAUUAUUAUUCUGUCAAUAUCAGACGAACAGAAGGGUGUUGCUGCUGAUGUGGUUACAGAGUGAUGGACCUGUCAAAGCGAGUGUCAUUGUGGUCAGUGGAAGAAGUGUUGGAGUGGGUGCAGGAUCAGUACCCAGCCUACAUGGGAACACUCCAGAAAGCCAUAAUUAAGCACGCUAUAUCAGGCCGUGCACUGCUGAGAUUAAAGGAUCACCACUUGGAGCUUCUCGGGGUGGACGCUGAAGAGCAGCAGCAGGAAAUCUUGCAGGACCUCCUCCUCCUCAAAGUUCAAGAAGAAAUCAAUGAGCUCAAUGAUAUCUGCUCUGAGUGUUUUUCUUCAUAACAGGAAAUGAACGUGUUCAAGAGAAAUGCAGCUUCCCUUUUUAUAUUUUCCAUCCAUUCAUCCAUCCAUGUGAAGGAGACAGUGGGAGUGAUGGAAAUAACAGGUGAAAGAGAAAGGAGAAUCAAUGAAGAAUGAAGAGAGAAGGAAACCCAUUUCCUGUGUGAAACCUGACCUGUGCAGAUGGAUGAGAUUAGUUUUUGUCUGAGCGUCGUUUUCUGAUGCCUGCUGUCCAUUAGUCUCUGUCCUCUGUCUUUGUCUGUAGUGGGUUUGCAUCCCAUCAGUGCAUCAUGAAAUAUUUUAAGCGACGUUGAACCACUUUGGUCAAGACUGAAAUAUCACAGUAGAUACAGGAUGAAUUGAAAUGAAACUUUGUAAAGACAUUCAUGUUCCCCAGAGGAUGAAUCCUUAUGUCUUUGGUGAUCCUCUGACUUUUCCUCUAGCACCACCAUGAGGUUCAAAUUUGUGGAUGAGGUGAAAUUUCUCAAUAAUCCUUGGAUGGAUUGCCAUAAAAUGUGAUACAGACAUUCAUGUCCUUCUCGGAAUGAAUUGUAAUCUCUUAAUUUUCUCCCUGGCACUGUCAGCAAGUCAAAAAUGUUAUUAUUCCAAUACUUCGAUUUAUGAUAUCUGCAAAACUAAAGACAUCCUUAAGGGCUUUGCACACUGAGUCUGUUUUUUUUUGCGGAUGCUUUUUUUUAAAAAUCCGUCUUCCGGGGGAAAAAAAGCGUUACGCACAGAAACCUUGCACACUGCGUUGUAAUGCUAUAUUCGGUGUGAAAAUUCGCAAUAUGUGACAAAAUGUAAAAGACACGUUUCCUCCAUUGCAUCUCUAGUUACCCUUCUGGCCGUCACCCCUCUCUGUUUUGCAUUUGGCAAUGCGGGGCUGUCCUCCAAAUUCUGUGUGUGGACUACAUCCUCCUCCUCGUCAUCAUUAUGCACCUGAAUAUCACUAUCUGACCUGAUGAACGUGAGCCAUCUGAGUUAUGAAAUGAUUCUGUGAGCCCAUUCCUCUGUCUUGCCUUGUCUGUGUCCCGCCACCACAUUUUCUUGACUGAUUCUUGGUCAAACGUCUCGAAAGGCUUCUGACAGAUGUGAAAAAAGCAGAAAAUCGCACCUGUUCUGAAAUAUUUUAUGAGUUUUGACUCAGUGUGCAAACAGGAUUGACACAAUGUGAGGUAUUUUCUUUAGACAUGGGACAAUGUCGGAUGAAAAAAGACUCAUUGUGCAAAGACCUGUACACUUUUGUGCUAUUUAGCACUAUGCCAAUUAGCUUACGUUCGCAUGCUAACACACUAAAAUAAGAUGAACAUAGUAAACAUUAUACUUGCUAAUAUAUUAUAACCAUUUAACAUUUUCAGUAGGUGUGUUUUCAUCCACCUGUUUUAUGCACAUUUUCAGUUUGCGCAUAAAAAACGUCAAUUUCUUUUUAAAAAAAUCUCGAAAUUUUGCGAAAAAGCUUUUACACUUGGGGAAGGUUGAGUGUAUCUAUAAAACUUAAAUGUGAGUAAGUACAAUGGAAACAGAUUCAACGAUUAAAUGAUGAUGUACAGUUAUGAUGCACCGUCAUUGCGUAGGCCAUUGCAAGCGCUCUUCGUCACCUCUAGAUGGCUUUUUAACACACUUUUGUAUACACACAGAGCAGUUAUAUUAUUUGUUACUCAUUUCCAUUGUUCAGGGUUCUCCGUUUUUUAUGCAUCCAUUGUUUUCCUUUGUUUGAGGUUUGACUGGCGCUCUUAUAAUUACAACAUCCCGUUGGGUCCUCUGCUGCAGUGGCAUCUAACUGGAGAAAUAGCGCUGCCGCCACCUACUGCUAAAAUUGAUCAUCAAACUUAAAGAAAUAAGUAAAUGUAGAGUAUGGUCUCACAUGUGUCUAUCACAGGGUGCUCUGCUGCGUGAUAAACAGUGUCAGACAAGCCUAACUCUCAGGAAGAUGCAGAAAAAGAGAAAUUCCAUAAGUCAGCUUUGGUGAGUUUCUAUUUAAACAUUUCUAUCUGUCGAAUCCAAACAGUAAAACUUCCUCCUGCUGUUUGCUUUUCUCUCUCACACAUGCUGACUGAAAUUCAUUUACAAAACCAGCUGCUGGUUUAAAUCUCCUGUUUUGAUUUGAAAUGUCUGUCCUUGUAUUUUUGACUGAUAAAACCACAAACAAUGUUUCUCUCAAGUGAAUACUGAACAGAGGUACAGAAAACCAUCUCGACUUCUCUAGAUUUGAUGCUGUUUUGUUUUUGAUACAUACUGGUCAGUGUGAUCAAGGUGGCUGCAGCUGAUAUCUACUGAGAUUAAUAACUUGUGGUCCUAAAACUUUUAGACGCCUUUUUUUUAUAUAAUGCCCUUUUUCCUUUAUUUAUGAUGCUGGCCUCUUUUUAAUGUGUAUUAUAGGCAUCAAUACCCCUCCACAUUUGUAUUACAUUUAGUAAAAGGUCAUGUCUAUUUUUCACAGCAAUGCUACAGUAUGGUUGGUCGAAUAAA